rnacentral:ncRNA from 1 species
UGGCCCUUACGAGUAGGGCUACACACGUGCUACAAUGGCAGAUACAGAGGGCAGCGAAGCUGCGAAGUGGAGCGAAUCCCUUAAAGUUUGUCGUAGUCCGGAUUGGAGUCUGCAACUCGACUCCAUGAAGUCGGAAUCGCUAGUAAUCGUGGAUCAGAAUGCCACGGUGAAUACGUUCCCGGGCCUUGUACACACCGCCCGUCACACCAUGGGAGUGGGCUGCACCAGAAGUAGAUAGCUUAACCUUCGGGAGGGCGUUUACCACGGUGUGGUUCAUGACUGGGGUGAAGUCGUAACAAGGUAGCCCUAGGGGAACCUGGGGCUGGAUCACCUCCUUA